CUUGCUCCUCCUCUCUGCAGAGUCACCAUGUGAGCCCAGGAAGACAGGAUGCUUGUCACUGGUGUCCAGUCAUUUCGAUUGGAUUCACCCUCUUACUGCGUGUCUAAAUACUGAAAAUUCACCUGACAGUUAAGGGCAAGGGAAGAUGGUUUCUUACAUAUUGAAACAGAUAUCCCACUUGCCCGGAUUUGAUGAGUUGAAAUGAAAAUCUUAAUCCUGGAUACAUAAAAAGUAUCCAGUCGCUCAAACAGAUGUGAGAAAGCUAGAAGAGGGCAGGGCAGACCAGUUGAUGGACGUCUAGGCUAUUUCCAACUUCUGGCUAUUACCAAUAGAACAGCAGUGAACACGGAUGAGCAAGUCUCCCUGUGAGCAGAUACAAGCCUAGGAAAAAGAAAGUGUGAUGCUAUCUGGAAAAUAAUAGUAACUGCACAGAAGCAAUGGAGAAACUGGUUACUGCUACUUACGUAGCUCAAGAAUCAGCCGGUGCGAGCUUUGAACGAUUAACUUCCCAGUGGUAACCCAGACAAGGCCAAUAUGCAAAAGUGCAAAGCUGUAGGUACCACUAGAAGACGACGUAAACUCAAGCAGAACCCGCUAAUAAGCUCUAGAGCGAGCGGAGCUGAGACCACCAGAGGUGGUGAGUGACACCACAGCAGACGCCAUCUUGCUGUCUUUCAAUUGCAAAAUGAUCACAAUGAAGACCUCUGUCAA
rnacentral:lncRNA from 1 species